rnacentral:tRNA from 1 species
CCUGGCCUAGCUCAGCGGCAGAGCACCCGGCUUCGAACCGGGCGGGCGCGAGUUCGAAUCUCGCGGCCAGGU